rnacentral:lncRNA from 1 species
GAUCUUCUUCUCUCGACUCACAGCCUCUCUUUCGAAUCUCCCUUCUACUAUCGCUCAUCUACUACAACGAAGUCAGCUCGACGAUGGCCAAGAUCAGUGUUCUUUCUUCUUCCAUCAGUCGUGUCUCGCCUGUCAAAGAGAGGAGCUGAAGCUUCCUCUCCCAGCCUGACGUCGACUGUGAUUAUGGUGACAAACUCGUCUGUCGCUACUAAUUCUUCUUCCCGAAGAUCCAUCGCCUGCAAACGAGAUAUGGUAUCCGAUCUCCUUCUCUUCUCUCGAUUUUUCGAUCUGGUUCCAUACCUAAGUCUUUACUCUCAACACUUGAUUAGGGCAUUCAUUGUAUCUUUCUUCUUACUUUGAUUCAAACCAACUGACACUAUUCAUUCCCCUUUUCUAUACGAAUUUCACUGCCGAUAUGAGUUCAGGGGGGAGAAGGAAGGUGGGCCUCGUGACUAAUGGCUCCGGUCUAUCAAGGAUUAAGGAAGAAGGCCCUCGACCAAGCUAGGUAACACUCACGUUUGUAUUCUAGCUUUUCCUUCCCUAUGAGCUUAUGUUGAUUUCUAUGUGUCGGAUGAUUACUAGAUCACCUAGAAUGAUUGCGGAGACCUAGCUUUCUAACUAUUUCUUAUUUUUGUUUGUAGGAUUGGGUUGGUUCGAUGACUACGAGAAUGAAUUGACACCGACUAAGGGAUCUUAAAAGAAAUCAAGCAAAAAGGGAGGAAUCUAAGUCGGCUACCCUGGAGGUUUGUCCCUUAACUCUUUACUGCAGUAGCUAUCUUAGAUGGUGAUAUUAAGCUUGUCCUUGACUCUAUUUGUCUACAGUAGGACUUGAGAAACACAUAAAUUGAUUGGUUUGGCUGUCAACUUAGUUUGCUUAAGUGUAAAAUCUGGUGUACACAACAAAAACGUUUUGGGUUGCUUGUUUUCUUAUCUUGUUGACUCCUAUUUUUAUCUCAUAAUGAGCUUCUCCGAACUAACUAUCAUGGCUGUAAGUUAAAGAGAAAACUACAGUAAAGACUAAAUUUGACCUAGUAGACCAUUGCCUAUUAGCAAGAGCAUUCUACCAAGUCAACAUAAUUAGUCCAUAGCUAAUUGGAAGAUCAUUAUUCUCACUUGCCUUCCCAUUUACUUUAACAUUAGCAACUCUAAGACGUCCACUUUAAAAAACCAACAUUGCCUCUCAUGCAUAUUUAGUGUAAUUCAAUUUUUAUCCUUGUCGAGAUUAGUUUGUGCGUUGAGGAGUUGCCAAGUUUUCGUGAUUUUAUUAUGUAGUAAUAAUGGUUGAGGUUAUGAUGAUUUUGUGGUGGUUUCAAGCAUGUGGUGGCUGAUUUUAGGGGGUAGGAGGGUAGGAACGGGUUGGUUGAGACCUUUGUUUGAUGGGUAGAGUCAAAUCAUAAUAGAGAUUGUCAUAUUCAUCCGCGUCUAGUAUCAAAGGGAUGGUUUUAGUAGCUAAACCAACAUUUGAAGGAUGAAGAUGGAGAUUAGUGGUGCUUUUAAUAACCGUCAAUCUACAUCCCUAGCAUGCUUAUGAUGAUGACAAUAUACUAGAUGUAAGUAAUAUAAUGAAGUAAGAUGUAUUAGUGAUUUUUGACUUGUGUACCUUUCACCUCUUGUAACGUUUUACUUGCUUGGAUGUAGCUAACUUUGUGAUUUUUUCUUCUUGCGAGGUUUGUUCUAAGGAAUCUUGGACCCGAAGCUUUGGUGGUACUGAUGCUCGAUGAAUGUGAGCUCGGUUGAGAGGCUAGGUUCGUUGAACUCGAAGUGGCCGUGAGGUCUCGAAGGUUGUGGCCUCGUGAGAGCUUGGUGAGGUCUCGUGGGUAUAGUUUACGUGAGCUUUGAGUGUGAUUUCGAGUAGGGUCUUGAGCGAAAUUUCGGUGAGGAUAGAGUGUGAUUUGAGUGAGGUUUAGUGGGUUUGUAACUAAUUAAUUCUCUUUUUUCACUUGAUGCUUUUCUGAUUUAGUGUUUUGGUAUAGAUUUCUCUUCUUCCAUUUUCUUACAGAACCGUUUUUUCUCUUCCUUUCCUCUUUGAUCAGCCACCCUUUUAUAGCCACCAAAAUAAGAAACCAAAGGGGCAGAAAGGAAAAAUCACUACUGAUUUACCUAUCAGCAAAAGAACAGCACCCUAGUUUAAGGGUAGAACAGCUAUGUCGUUAUAAUGUGGGCCACACCCGAUGGGUUCGUCAUUAUUAGACGGGCCAGACCUUGUUUGCGAACCGAACUGGUUUGUGUAAGACAGAACUGGUUACCUUUUUUAUACCGUGAUCACACCUAAAUCUAACCCGAUAAAAUACUAAAUCCUUCGAAAUCUUUCAAAAAUAAGCUUUUGGAUUUAGCUAGG